rnacentral:sRNA from 1 species
UGCAAUUAUCAAUUGUGUCCUUUAUAUC